rnacentral:rRNA from 1 species
GGUUAAGCGACUAAGCGUACACGGUGGAUGCCCUGGCAGUCAGAGGCGAUGAAGGACGUGCUAAUCUGCGAUAAGCGUCGGUAAGGUGAUAUGAACCGUUAUAACCGGCGAUUUCCGAAUGGGGAAACCCAGUGUGAUUCGUCACACUAUCAUUACGUGAAUACAUAGCGUAAUGAAGCGAACCGGGGGAACUGAAACAUCUAAGUACCCCGAGGAAAAGAAAUCAACCGAGAUUCCCCCAGUAGCGGCGAGCGAACGGGGAGCAGCCCAGAGUCUGAAUCAGCUUGUGUGUUAGUGGAACGGUCUGGAAAGUCCGACGGUACAGGGUGAUAGUCCCGUACACCAAAAUGCACAGGUUGUGAACUCGAAGAGUAGGGCGGGACACGUGGUAUCCUGUCUGAAUAUGGGGGGACCAUCCUCCAAGGCUAAAUACUCCUGACUGACCGAUAGUGAACCAGUACCGUGAGGGAAAGGCGAAAAGAACCCCGGCGAGGGGAGUGAAAAAGAACCUGAAACCGUGUACGUACAAGCAGUGGGAGCAUCCUUUUGGGUGUGACUGCGUACCUUUUGUAUAAUGGGUCAGCGACUUAUAUUCUGUAGCAAGGUUAACCGUAUAGGGGAGCCGAAGGGAAACCGAGUCUUAACUGGGCGUUAAGUUGCAGGGUAUAGACCCGAAACCCGGUGAUCUAGCCAUGGGCAGGUUGAAGGUUGGGUAACACUAACUGGAGGACCGAACCGACUAAUGUUGAAAAAUUAGCGGAUGACUUGUGGCUGGGGGUGAAAGGCCAAUCAAACCGGGAGAUAGCUGGUUCUCCCCGAAAGCUAUUUAGGUAGCGCCUCGUGAAUUCAUCUUCGGGGGUAGAGCACUGUUUCGGCUAGGGGGUCAUCCCGACUUACCAACCCGAUGCAAACUGCGAAUACCGAAGAAUGUUAUCACGGGAGACACACGGCGGGUGCUAACGUCCGUCGUGAAGAGGGAAACAACCCAGACCGCCAGCUAAGGUCCCAAAGUCAUGGUUAAGUGGGAAACGAUGUGGGAAGGCACAGACAGCCAGGAUGUUGGCUUAGAAGCAGCCAUCAUUUAAAGAAAGCGUAAUAGCUCACUGGUCGAGUCGGCCUGCGCGGAAGAUGUAACGGGGCUAAACCAUGCACCGAAGCUGCGGCAGCGACACUAUGUGUUGUUGGGUAGGGGAGCGUUCUGUAAGCCGUUGAAGGUGUAUCGUGAGGUAUGCUGGAGGUAUCAGAAGUGCGAAUGCUGACAUAAGUAACGAUAAUGCGGGUGAAAAACCCGCACGCCGGAAGACCAAGGGUUCCUGUCCAACGUUAAUCGGGGCAGGGUGAGUCGACCCCUAAGGCGAGGCCGAAAGGCGUAGUCGAUGGGAAACAGGUUAAUAUUCCUGUACUUGGUGUUACUGCGAAGGGGGGACGGAGAAGGCUAUGUUAGCCGGGCGACGGUUGUCCCGGUUUAAGCAUGUAGGCGGAGGUUCCAGGUAAAUCCGGUACCUUUUUAACGCUGAGGUGUGAUGACGAGGCACUACGGUGCUGAAGUAACAAAUGCCCUGCUUCCAGGAAAAGCCUCUAAGCAUCAGGUAACACGAAAUCGUACCCCAAACCGACACAGGUGGUCAGGUAGAGAAUACCAAGGCGCUUGAGAGAACUCGGGUGAAGGAACUAGGCAAAAUGGUGCCGUAACUUCGGGAGAAGGCACGCUGAUAUGUAGGUGAAGUGAUUUACUCAUGGAGCUGAAAUCAGUCGAAGAUACCAGCUGGCUGCAACUGUUUAUUAAAAACACAGCACUGUGCAAACACGAAAGUGGACGUAUACGGUGUGACGCCUGCCCGGUGCCGGAAGGUUAAUUGAUGGGGUUAUCCGUAAGGAGAAGCUCUUGAUCGAAGCCCCGGUAAACGGCGGCCGUAACUAUAACGGUCCUAAGGUAGCGAAAUUCCUUGUCGGGUAAGUUCCGACCUGCACGAAUGGCGUAAUGAUGGCCAGGCUGUCUCCACCCGAGACUCAGUGAAAUUGAACUCGCUGUGAAGAUGCAGUGUACCCGCGGCAAGACGGAAAGACCCCGUGAACCUUUACUAUAGCUUGACACUGAACACUGGUCCUUGAUGUGUAGGAUAGGUGGGAGGCUUUGAAGUGUGGACGCCAGUCUGCAUGGAGCCAUCCUUGAAAUACCACCCUUUAAUGGCUGGUGUUCUAACGUGGACCCGUUACCCGGGUUGCGGACAGUGUCUGGUGGGUAGUUUGACUGGGGCGGUCUCCUCCUAAAGAGUAACGGAGGAGCACGAAGGUUAGCUAAUCCUGGUCGGACAUCAGGAGGUUAGUGCAAAGGCAUAAGCUAGCUUGACUGCGAGAGUGACGGCUCGAGCAGGUGCGAAAGCAGGUCUUAGUGAUCCGGUGGUUCUGAAUGGAAGGGCCAUCGCUCAACGGAUAAAAGGUACUCCGGGGAUAACAGGCUGAUACCGCCCAAGAGUUCAUAUCGACGGCGGUGUUUGGCACCUCGAUGUCGGCUCAUCACAUCCUGGGGCUGAAGUAGGUCCCAAGGGUAUGGCUGUUCGCCAUUUAAAGUGGUACGCGAGCUGGGUUUAGAACGUCGUGAGACAGUUCGGUCCCUAUCUGCCGUGGGCGCUGGAGAAUUGAGGGGGGCUGCUCCUAGUACGAGAGGACCGGAGUGGACGCAUCACUGGUGUUCGGGUUGUCAUGCCAAUGGCAUUGCCCGGUAGCUAAAUGCGGAAGAGAUAAGUGCUGAAAGCAUCUAAGCACGAAACUUGCCCCGAGAUGAGUUCUCCCUGAGACUUUAAGUCUCCUGAAGGAACGUU